ACACUGUGAUGUCUUAGUACGGCGAGUGAAGCGGCAAAAGCUCAAAUUUGAAAUCUGGCACCUUCGGUGUCCGAGUUGUAAUUUGAAGAAGGUAACUUUGGAGUUGGCUCUUGUCUAUGUUCCUUGGAACAGGACGUCACAGAGGGUGAGAAUCCCGUGCGAUGAGAUGCCCAAUUCUAUGUAAAGUGCUUUCGAAGAGUCGAGUUGUUUGGGAAUGCAGCUCUAAGUGGGUGGUAAAUUCCAUCUAAAGCUAAAUAUUGGCGAGAGACCGAUAGCGAACAAGUACAGUGAUGGAAAGAUGAAAAGAACUUUGAAAAGAGAGUGAAAAAGUACGUGAAAUUGUUGAAAGGGAAGGGCUUGAGAUCAGACUUGGUAUUUUGCGAUCCUUUCCUUCUUGGUUGGGUUCCUCGCAGCUUACUGGGCCAGCAUCGGUUUGGAUGGUAGGAUAAUGACUAAGGAAUGUGGCUCUACUUCGGUGGAGUGUUAUAGCCUUGGUUGAUACUGCCUGUCUAGACCGAGGACUGCGUCUUUUGACUAGGAUGUUGGCAUAAUGAUCUUAAGCCACCCGUCUUGAAA
rnacentral:rRNA from 1 species